GACGCGCUUCCGCGCCCCCUGGCGCCAGACUGGGCUCGUCGCAGGUGCGGUGGCGCGGGUCCCGUGUUCCUACGCGGGCGGUUCCCCUGGGAACAAGCGCGAGCCGGCGCCGAGAGAUGUUUCGCGGGCUGGAGAGGCGGCCUGGGAUUAACUUUGAAUUAGAAUAUAAAUAUGCCAUCCAGAUUCCAAAACAUGUAUAAGAAUUGACAAAAACAGCUGAGGUUGAACAGAAAUUGUGUGGGAGAAAGUAGAGAGGAAAAACAGAGACCAAUCUCAGCAGCAAGAAGUUUCAGCUAGACAAUAGUAGCAAAAGUGUAACUCCUGAAGAGAAGUCCUGCAUGCCGAGUGAACACACCUGCCAAGCAUCUGCUGUGACUGCCAGACCCAUGAUGACACAGCGGCCGGUGCAGUUACGCGGCACAUCACAUUGCUUUGCAUAUUUCUUGCCUCACUUCCA